rnacentral:lncRNA from 1 species
CACCGAGGUGGGCACAUUCAGGGCACAGGGGCCGCUGGUGGCUGCUCCCCACAUACCAGGGGCACUGCUGAAGGGGGGGGGUCAGGCAGAGAUUUUGGGGUCGAGGGGGCUGCUGACAACCCCCCCCCCGUACCCGCAGCCUCGCCGGGACAGCGGUGGCAGCCCGGAGAAGCCCCCUCCCUCCAUCCUGGAGGAUGAGGAAGGGCAGGAUGAGGUCUUCCAGCACUCGCCCACCACCCACCGCCUGCUUCUGUCCCCCCCCAGGAGCAGCCCCGCACGCCGGGGGGGGCCGGGGACCCCCUCGGUGCAGCUCCCAGGGGUGGGGGGCAGCAGGGCCAAGAAGCCCCCCAAGCUCCUCAUCCCCUCCCUGCACGCCCCCGAACCCCCCGAGCUCGGCCUCAGAGUGGUGGAUGGGAUCGAGGACGCCGGGGGGCCCUGGGAGGCCCAAAACUUCACCGCGGCCCCCCCGCCACACAGCGCACCGAGGGGCUCCCCCCCGCCAGGGUGCGGGGAGGGAGGCCCGGUGCUGGCGGCGGAGGCGGAGGAGGCGAAGGGGAGCGUCCUGAGGCUCAGCGCCGAGGUGCGGGGGGACCGGGGCUGCGGGAAUGGGGGGGGAAAUUUUAUUUUGGAUUCGUAAUUUUUUUUAAUUAUUUUUUAUUUUCAUGUUUAAUUUUUUCAAUAUUUAUUUUUUUUAUUUCUUAUUUACUAUUUUUAAUUUUUAUCCUUUGAUUUUUUUUUCUUUUAAAAUUUGUAAUCUUUAUUUUUUUUUAAUUUUUAUUUUUAAUUUCCUAAUUUUUAUUUUUAAAAUUUCAUUUUAUUUUUAUUUUAUUUUUUAAUUUCUUAUUUCAGUUUUUAUUUUAUUUUUUAUUUCAAUCCUUUA